rnacentral:lncRNA from 1 species
AAUGAUGCAAAUUUCACCCAAAAUUGCACCAUUUCGUCCAAACUUGCACCAUUUCGCCAAAUUUUGCACCAUUUCGCCUAAAAUUGCACCAUUUCUCCUUCUCCUCCUAUUCCUUUUCCUUUUUCUUUUUUACACCAUUACAUCAUAACAAUAAAACUCUUCUAAAAAUCGAGCCGGAUUCGCCUACACCGUCGACUCGCCCCAUCCCUCCUCCGCCGCCUUCACCACUCCCGUUCGAGCACGAGAAUUUCUCGCGCGUACCGCCGCGGAGCUUCGGGGCGCACGGCAGCGCAGCCCCAUCUAGGACUAUGCCUAUCCGGCUUGAGAGCGCCGCAGCGGGGACGCGGGAGCUCGACGACGACGACGCCGGCACCGAGGACGUCGGCGGCGGAGGAGGGGGCAGAGGCGGGGGCAGAGGA